GUGCUCGCUUUGGCAGCACAUAUACUAAAAUUGGAAUGAUACAGGGAAGAUUAGAAUGGCCCCUGUGCAAGGCUGACACGCAAAUUCGUGAAGCAUUCCAUAUUUUU
rnacentral:snRNA from 1 species